AUGAAUGGAAGGGAGGUGGUUAGUCGCGUAGAGAGCUUGAAAGGAGGAGGAAGUUGUAGCAGCUUGAGGAAUCUUCAGAUGAAGUUUGGAGAUUACGCGGCCUCUGCGAUACCGACGAAGGGUGGUUCGAAAGUUGCGGAGGGUGUCUGCGGUAUCGAAGAAGGUGAUUCGGAGAAUGGUGUUUGCGGUAUCGGUGAAGGGUGGUUCGGAAGCUGCGGAGAGUGUCUGCGGUUUGUGAGAAGAGGGAGUGGAAAUGCAGCAAGAAUGGAAUAG